GCGAGUCGUGAGGGUUCGGCCCUCGGCGAACGGCUCAGUAACACAUAGAUAAUUUGCCCUUAGGUGGAGGAUACCCUCGGGAAACUGAGAAUAAUACUCCAUAGAUUUAGAAUGCUGGAAUGCUUUUAAAUUGAAAGAUUUAUCGCCUAAGGAUAGGUCUGCGGACUAUCAGGUUGUAGUCAGGGUAAAUACCUGACUAGCCUACGACGGAUACGGGCUGUGAGAGCACUAGCCCGGAGAUGAUACCUGAGACACGAUAUCAGGCCCUACGGGGCGCAGCAGGCGCGAAAACUUCGCACUGUGCGAAAGCACGACGAGGGGAUCCCAAGUGCUGGCUCGUAAGAGUCAGCUGUUUCUUUGUCUAAAAAACAGAGAGAGUAAGAGCUGGGUAAGACGGGUGCCAGCCGCCGCGGUAAUACCUGCAGCUCAAGUGGUGGCCGCUAUUAUUGGGCCUAAAACGUCCGUAGCCGGUUCUAUAAAUGCCUGGGUAAAUCGUACGGCUUAACCGUACGAAUUCCGGGUAGACUGUUUAACUUGGGGCCGGGAGAGGCUAGAGGUACUCCUGGGGUAGAGGUGAAAUUCUGUAAUCCUAGGGGGACCACCAGUGGCGAAGGCGUCUAGCUAGAACGGGUCUGACGGUGAGGGACGAAGCCCUGGGGAGCAAACGGGAUUAGAUACCCCGGUAGUCCAGGGUGUAAACGCUGCUCGCUUGAUGUUAGUCGGGCUCCGAGCCCAACUAGUGUCGGAGAGAAGUUGUUAAGCGAGCUGCCUGGGAAGUACG
rnacentral:rRNA from 1 species